GUGGACUGUCAGCCACUCAGUUUUCCUUCCCUUGUCCUUUCUCUCCCACUUGGUAGCUGAACUGGGGAUUCUGCCCGGAGGAAAACCCUGAACAUGAAGCGUUACUAGACUGGCAGGCAGUCUGCCUGUCCUAACGUGAGUGGGGAGACUCCUGGGUCGCCCUAAGCCAGGCGCUAGGUUUGCCAAAGUGAUUCUGGCGUGUUCAGUUCUGCGGGUCGCCACUCGUCAUCGGCCUCCCUUGCCCUCGCGCGUGCAGUCCGUGUUCCACCAUCACAGAGGGACCUGCUGAGCUUCACGGAGCACGUGGAGCCGAUUUCAGACGGGCUAUGGGGGAACCAACCAUGACUGGAUGGAAUGAGGGCUUAUUUCCCCUUCUUCCUCUGACCAGGCAUAUACUGAAUAUUUUUAAGCGUGGACCUAUGAACGUGCACUAUUGAUCUGCCAGGGCAUGGCAGCUCUAGAAGUGGAGGAGGGCCGUGGACGAGCUCGCCUAACACUCUUGUUCUGGGGAGCCUGGGAGGAUAGAUUCCAUUCUGCAAGCAGGAGGCCGGGGAGUUCGCUCAUGGUGCAGGAGACAGCAGGUCAUUUACACUGUGUUUGCGAUCAGGGGUCACAGAGAGGGGCCAGGAGUUGAAUUCCAAGAAUGGCACAGAAUCCAGCUCUCUGCGAAGGAAAUUCAGGGUUUGGACAACUCCCAAAGAGCAAUAAUUCAACCGGACUAACCCGAUGAACUGUUUUUAAAUGAGUUUGGAGAAAUAUAGUCAAACAUUGAACAGCUUCCUAGAACUGAAGCGCCUGGGCAAAGGCUGCCCCUGAAUUCCUCUGCUUCUAUUCGCUUCCAUGCUGUGGACAAGGCUGUAGACGUCCAGGACCAGUCAGGGAGAGAUGGACCCCGUGACCGCUUCCCUGAAAGUGGCCUUUGACUGCUCUGGAACACAUGAGCCCCUGCCUCGCCCCUGGCACCUGAACUAGGUGACUACUUGCCAGGGCCCAACCCAGUCCAAAGGGAUUUGGGAUUCAGUGUCCCAAAGAGGCACUGAUUAGCUGGCAAGCAGGCAGCGAUUAGCAGGCCGGGUCACCUGCAGUUCAGUGCCCAUUGUUCCCUGCAAAGUCCUGGGAUGUUUGCCAUGAGGUCGCAGAGUGCGAACAUCUGAGGAUCCCGGGGCCUGCGGCUCUGCUGUGCUGAGCGGUGAUGAGGAAAAAAAAAGACCCUGUUCCGCUGAGCCCACCCCCCAGGAGGCAGUGCCAAGAAGCCCCUCUGUGUAUUCACCCAUGAAGCCAGCUUGAGAGCCCAGCACUGAUGGGGAGAAGAGGCCCCGAGGAUACACUGAAGAACCAGAAGCAAUGAGCGAACUCUUCUUCACACCUGAUGUGGAGAAUGCGAGCAGUGAAGCUGGGCAGAACUGGGCCUGGACUGGGAUUCUGCUGCGGCCUUGAUAUGUGACCUUGGACAAGAUACUUAACCUCUGAGUGCUGCUUUACCUCGGUUUUUAAGAAGGUCAAUAAUAACGCUUGUUGAUUAUGAUUGUUUGGGGUUUAAGUGAAAAGAAACAGUGAAGCAGUUACUGUCGCCUCUAGGACAGAGAAAGCAUCCAGAAGUGCUAUCACCAUUACCAUACUGUGUAGCAGAAAUGUCAUCAUUUGAAACGCUGUAAUCAUCCCUUCUUCACAGACCACCAUAGGAUGGGAGGGAUGACUCUUGUAAAGCAUUCAACACGGCUGGGCACAUAAGGAGGAGCCCCCGACGCGAGACAGAACUAACAACGAGAACUAUUGUUACUAUUUGCUCAAAGAUGGUUGCAAAAGAGUAUUUUUGCAGCAUGUUUCACCACACUGCAGCAUAUAAUCACGAACACUUAGACGGAGCCUACUUUUGAAUUAGAAGGGGAUUAAUGAAAUGAUUCACGGUACAUUCACCCCAUCAAGUCCCAUUCGGCCAGGUAAUCCCCACACCCUCAGAUGACUGGAGGUCUUGCUAAAACGCACAUUCUCGUUUACUGGAUCUGGGGUGAGGCCCACGAGCCAGCAUUUCUAAUGAAUUCUCAAGUGAUUCCAGAACUAGGGUUCGUGGACCAUACACACUUUCAUAAGAAAGAGAUGUAUGUGUUUAUGUAUUUCUAUAGCAGUAGAGAAAAAAUUCCUAGACU
ensembl:lncRNA